UACGAAGGGGGCUAGCGUUGCUCGGAAUCACUGGGCGUAAAGGGCGCGUAGGCGGAUGAUUAAGUCGGAGGUGAAAGCCCAGGGCUCAACCCUGGAAUUGCCUUCGAUACUGAUCGUCUCGAGAAUGGAAGAGGUAAGUGGAAUACCGAGUGUAGAGGUGAAAUUCGUAGAUAUUCGGUGGAACACCAGUGGCGAAGGCGACUUACUGGUCCAUUUCUGACGCUGAGGCGCGAAAGCGUGGGGAUCAAACAGG
rnacentral:rRNA from 2 species